AUGUUAAAUGUAGAAACAGUGUUUCUUAACUGGUGGGUCAGGACCCAAAAGUGGGUCGCAGAACCAUUCUGGGUGGGUCGCAGAGCUUGUGGGUAAAAAAAUAAAUAAAACAUCACCCAUUUUAAGUACUACUUUGUCAGAUCUAAUAUCCUGAACACUUCACAAAUGUAAUGCCAAACAUCAGCAUGUUCCAAACAAA